rnacentral:rRNA from 1 species
GAUGAACGCUGGCGGCGUGCCUAAUACAUGCAAGUCGAGCGAACAGACGAGGAGCUUGCUCCUCUGACGUUAGCGGCGGACGGGUGAGUAACACGUGGAUAACCUACCUAUAAGACUGGGAUAACUUCGGGAAACCGGAGCUAAUACCGGAUAAUAUAUUGAACCGCAUGGUUCAAUAGUGAAAGACGGUUUUGCUGUCACUUAUAGAUGGAUCCGCGCCGCAUUAGCUAGUUGGUAAGGUAACGGCUUACCAAGGCAACGAUGCGUAGCCGACCUGAGAGGGGGACCGCCCACAGUGGAGAGAAGCACGGUCCAAGACGCCGAGGGGGGGCAGCAGGAGGAAUUCUCCCGCAAGGGCCGAAGGCCGGAGGGAGAAGCGCGGGGGGAGUGAGGAGGGUCUUGGGAUCGAAAAACUGUUUUAUUGGGAAAAAAAAAAUGGGAAAUAAACAAGGCCCGUUUGGACGGUCCUUAAUAAAAAACCCCCGGCUAAUUACGUC